AGAGUUUGAUCAUGGCUCAGGAUGAACGCUAGCGGCAGGCUUAACACAUGCAAGUCGAGGGGGCAGCGCUGGAGUAGCAAUACUUCUGGCGGCGACCGGCGAAAGGGUGCGCAACGCGUGAGCGACGUGCCCGUCACAGGGGGAUAAUCGGCGGAAACGCCGUCUAAUAUCCCAUAACACCAUUCUCUGCAUGGGGGAUGGUUGAAAGCCACGGCGGUGACGGAUUGGCUCGCGUCCGAUUAGCCAGUUGGCGGGGCAACGGCCCACCAAAGCAGCGAUCGGUAGGGGUUCUGAGAGGAAGGUCCCCCACAAUGGAACUGAGACACGGUCCAUACUCCUACGGGAGGCAGCAGUGAGGAAUAUUGGUCAAUGGGCGGAAGCCUGAACCAGCCAUGCCGCGUGCAGGAAUAAGGCCCUAUGGGUUGUAAACUGCUUUUCCCGMRRARCAAUAAGGAUGUUUCGGACAUCCGAUGAGAGUACGCGGGGAAUAAGCAUCGGCUAACUCCGUGCCAGCAGCCGCGGUAAUACGGAGGAUGCGAGCGUUAUCCGGAUUCAUUGGGUAUAAAGGGUGCGUAGGCGGCUCUGCAAGUCAGCGGUGAAAUGUCCGGGCCCAACCCGGAAGGUGCCGUUGAUACUGUGGAGCUGGAGUACGGACGCCGGCGGAGGAAUGAGUGGUGUAGCGGUGAAAUGCAUAGAUGUCACUCAGAACACCGAUUGCGAAGGCAUCCGCCGAGACCGAAACUGACGCUGAGGCACGAAAGCGUGGAAUAGAACAGGAUUAGAUACCCUGGCAUUCCACG
rnacentral:rRNA from 1 species